rnacentral:rRNA from 1 species
CAAUACGUCAGUGGCAGACGGGUGAGUAACGCGUGGGAACGUACCUUUCAGUUCGGAACAACCAAGGGAAACUUUGGCUAAUACCGGAUACGCCCUUACGGGGAAAGAUUUAUCGCUGAAAGAUCGGCCCGCGUCUGAUUAGCUAGUUGGUGAGGUAAUGGCUCACCAAGGCGACGAUCAGUAGCUGGUCUGAGAGGAUGAUCAGCCACAUUGGGACUGAGACACGGCCCAA